UACGUAGGGUGCAAGCGUUAUCCGGAAUUAUUGGGCGUAAAGAGCUCGUAGGCGGUUUGUCGCGUCUGCUGUGAAAACUGGGGGCUCAACCCCCAGCCUGCAGUGGGUACGGGCAGACUAGAGUGCGGUAGGGGAGAUUGGAAUUCCUGGUGUAGCGGUGGAAUGCGCAGAUACCAGGAGGAACACCGAUGGCGAAGGCAGAUCUCUGGGCCGUAACUGACGCUGAGGAGCGAAAGCAUGGGGAGCGAACAGG
rnacentral:rRNA from 1 species